AGCGAACGUUUGCGGCGGGCCUAACACAUGCAAGUCGAACGCACUAGCAAUAGUGAGUGGCGCACGGGUGCGUAACACGUGGGUAAUCAACCCUUCAGCCUGGGAUAACGACUCGAAAGGGUCGCUAAUACCGGAUACGGCGCGAGAGGCUUCGGCUUCUCACGAGAAAGCCACGCAAGGGGCACUGAAGGACGAGCCUGCGGCCCAUCAGCUAGUUGGUGAGGUAAGAGCUCACCAAGGCUAAGACGGGUAGCUGGUCUGAGAGGAUGAUCAGCCACACUGGAACUGAGACACGGUCCAGACUCCUACGGGAGGCAGCAGUGGGGAAUAUUGCGCAAUGGGCGAAAGCCUGACGCAGCCACGCCGCGUGAGCGAUGAAGGCCUUCGGUCGUAAGACUCUGUGGGGAGAGACGAAGAAAGACCUGUGAAGAGCAGGCC
rnacentral:rRNA from 1 species